UAUCAGUCCUGUUAAUUAGGAAACAAAAGCUCUGGUGGCAAGUUCAGCAGUCAGUUGUUUCCAGUGUAGAAAAGAUGGAAGGUAUGAUGUGUUCUGCUCCGUGGACCUGUUUACUUUUUAAAUUUUGAAUUGUCUGUAUCAGUAGUAGUGGAGAACAACCUUCUUUUAUGAGUUUUCAUAGACUGCUAAUUGAAUAUAAUAUUAACACUAUUAUCUCUCAAAUCUGGUGGUUUAAAAGCUGAGUUUAUAUACAUCUUCUGUAGCACUGGGAAUAAUGUGUAAAAUAUCUUAUUAUCUUAACAUAAAUAUAAACUGUUUCUGAAUUAAUUUGGUAGUAUGCUACAUGGGAAAAGGAUGAAACUUGAUUCAACAUGACAUAGAAGUUGAACUGCCUUUAUCUCUUUCUAAUAAGCACCCUUUGAUCCUUUCCCCCCUGAACUGUAUGUUAAGUAACACGUUGUCUGGCAAACAGCAUACUAUGUGGAACAGUGACCUCCAGGAAUAAGCUAGUUACAUCAUGGGUGUCUAUGCAGCUUACCUAGUUGAUGUGUUUUUCACAUGUGUGCUGUUCUUAUGUUUUGGUCUCCCCUUUCCCCAGCCAUGA
rnacentral:lncRNA from 1 species